UACGUAGGGGGCUAGCGUUGUCCGGAAUCAUUGGGCGUAAAGAGCGUGUAGGCGGCCCGGUAAGUCCGCUGUGAAAGUCGGGGGCUCAACCCUCGAAUGCCGGUGGAUACUGUCGGGCUAGAGUGCGGAAGAGGCGAGUGGAAUUCCUGGUGUAGCGGUGAAAUGCGCAGAUAUCAGGAGGAACACCUAUUGCGAAGGCAGCUCGCUGGGACGUUACUGACGCUGAGACGCGAAAGCGUGGGGAGCGAACAGG
rnacentral:rRNA from 1 species